rnacentral:snRNA from 1 species
GUCUCUUUAGAAACAUCUGAUAAAAUUAAAACGAUACAGAGAAGAUUAGCAUAAUUCCUGCCCAAAGAUGACACGCACAACUUAUCCCAGCAGGACUUCUCU